AUGGAGAAAGCACGCGCAGCCAUCCUCUUCCUGCUACUCCUCGUCGAUUUCGCCGUAGCAGCACAAAACGCCACCGCCGGCGAAGCAGAUGGAUUCCACGUCGGGGUGAUCCUCGACCUUGGAUCGCCGGUGGGCAAAGUGGCGCGGACCAGCGUUCUGCUGGCCGUCCAAGAUUUCUACGCGGUCCACCGGAACUACAGCACGAAGCUUGUUCUCCAUAUUAGGGACUCCAUGGGCAGCGAUGUCCGGGCUGCAUCAGCAGCUAUUGAGUUACUAGAGAAAUACAAAGUGCAAGCCAUCAUUGGUCCCCAGAAAUCGUCAGAAGCUGUGUUCAUAUCCAAUCUUGGAAAUUUAACCCAAGUCCCCAUAGUAUCAUUCACGGCAACAAGUCCCUCUCUCACUUCUGAUAGUAGACCAUAUUUUGUACGAGCAACACUGGAUGACUCGGCUCAAGUGAAUAGCAUUGCCUCGCUUGUACAAGCCUAUGGAUGGAGAGAAGUGGUGGCAAUAUAUGAUGACACUGAAUAUGGGAGAGGCAUUCUACCAUACCUCAUUGAUGCACUUCAUGAAAUUGAUGCCCGCAUCGCGUAUCGCAGUGUCAUCCCUUCAAUGGCAACAAAUGAGAACAUUGUGCAAGAACUCACUGGGUUGAUGGCAAUGCAAACAAGAGUAUUUAUUGUUCAUAUGUCAUCCACUAUGACUUCCCUUCUUUUUACGAAGGCAAAAGAGGUAGGGAUGAUGAACAAGGGAUUUGUGUGGAUCACCACGAAUGGAGUGGCAAACAUCAUCGACUCACUCAGUUCGAGUGUCAUUGAGGCAAUGAAUGGUGUGCUAGGAGUAAGGUAUCAUGUUCCCAGAUCACAAGAACUAGACAACUUAUCCAUAAGGUGGAACAGAAUGUACCAACAGGAUAACCCAGAUGAAUCACCCUUCAACAAACUAAGCAUUGUUGGACUAUGGGGCUAUGAUACUAUAUGGGCAUUCGCACAUGCAGCAGAAAAGGUUGGGAUAUCUAGCGCCAAAGAUAAGCAACGAUGGUCCACUAAAAACUCCACAUGCUUGGAAUCCAUGGUUAUUUCCACUAACGGCCCUGAACUCUUAUCAGCAAUUGUACAAAAUAAUUUCAGAGGUUUAAGUGGUGAAUUUGACCUUAAAGACAGGAGACAGCUCCAAGUUUGUGUGUUCCAGAUAAUAAACGUGAUUGGGAGAGGUUGGCGAGAAAUUGGGUUUUGGAGUGCGGAAAGUGGACUUUCACGACAGUUAAAGCAAGAUGACUUUAGAAAAACAGGACCAUCCUCGAUGCUUGAUCUAAAUCCUGUAAUUUGGCCAGGAGACUCAACUGAAAUACCAACGGGCUUGGAAAUUCCUACAGUUAGUAAGAAUCUUAGAGUUGGUGUCCGCUCGAGUGAAUAUCCAGAGUUUAUAAAUGCAUACAAACAUCCUACCACAAAUAAAAUAAAAGCGAGUGGGCUGGUAAUUGACAUAUUUGAGGAGGUAGCAAAGAAUCUUUCACUUCAUUUUGACUACUUCCUAUUUGGCACAACUGAUACAUCAACUACGGGGACCUACAAUGAUUUCGUUUACCAAGUCUAUCUCCAGGUUUAUGACAUAGCGGUGGCAGAUACUACUAUAAGAUACAACAGGUCACUGUAUGUCGACUUCACCGUACCAUACACGGAAUCCGGAGUAGGGAUGAUUGUUCCGGUGAAGGAUAACAUGUUAAAGGAUUUGUGGCUUUUUUUGAAACCAUUUAGCACUAUGAUGUGGUUUGGCAGCAUUUUAUUCUUUAUGUACACAGGAGUCGUUGUCUGGCUGCUGGAGUGUCUAAAUGGCAAUGAACAUGCUCAUGGUCCCUUUUCACUCAAACAACUGGCGACUACAAUAUUCUCCAUUUUUGAAGAGAAGGAGGAGUUGUCAAGCUUUGGAGCUAAAAUUGGUCUGCGUGUAUGGAAGAUUGUUGCUCUGGUACUUGCAGCGAGCUAUACAGCAAGCUUUGCAUCAAUGCUUACAGUACAACAGCUUUCACCAACUGUGAUUGAUGUACACAAGCUCCAGAAGCGUGGCGACUAUGUAGGGUUCCACCAAGGUUCCUAUAUAGAGGGUCUACUGUUGGAUAUUGGUUUUCAUACAUCAAAGAUCAGGGGCUAUGCUACACCUGAUGAUUUCUAUGGUGCUCUUUCUAAUGGAAGCAUUUCUGCGCUUGUACUUGAAAUCCCAUACAUCAACCUAUUUCUUGCAAAGUACAACCAAGGUUACACAAUGGUGGGGCCUAUUUACAAGAGUGCGGGUUUUGCAUUUGCGCUUCCCAAGAAUUCUACGCUACGCGCUGACAUGUCGACGGCAAUACUCAACAUAACAGGAGGAGAUACUAUCAUUCAAUUUGAAAAAAAAUGGAUAAAUCAGGGCAACCAUCAAACUAACAGCGUGCCCGAUGGUUCAGGUGCUAUCAAUUUCGAAAGUUGUGGGGGGUUAUUCCUCAUAACUGGAGUUGUGACAACCGGUUCCCUUCUUGUGGCCAUGCUGAUGAACCGCUACAAAAAGCAUCGACAGAAUGCAGGGGACAAAGAAGAUGACCAGAACGAACGCGGACAUGGCCAAGAGAAUGAGAACAUGGAUGAGCAAGGCGAUCAAAACAGCGAUGGAGAGGGAACUGAAUUGAUAGAGAGCCAAACAACACUGUCGGUGCCUCACAGUUCGCACGGAGAUGGUGACCAGCUU
rnacentral:rRNA from 1 species